AAGGCUUUACCUUAUGGUUAAUCUGAUAGACUUGCACAGAUUUAUAUGAUGCGGGUUUUGUAUGGAGGUGAAGCGAGAAAGAUUGUUCCUCUCGCUAUCCACUGCUGCGUUCUGUGUUGCAGUUGGACGUUGGGGAACUACAUCC